UACGUAGGGUCCGAGCGUUGUCCGGAAUUAUUGGGCGUAAAGAGCUCGUAGGCGGUUUGUCGCGUCUGCUGUGAAAUCCCGAGGCUCAACCUCGGGUCUGCAGUGGGUACGGGCAGACUGGAGUGCGGUAGGGGAGAAUGGAAUUCCUGGUGUAGCGGUGGAAUGCGCAGAUAUCAGGAGGAACACCGAUGGCGAAGGCAGGUCUCUGGGCCGAAACUGACGCUGAGGAGCGAAAGCGUGGGGAGCAAACAGG
rnacentral:rRNA from 1 species